UAGGCUCCCUCUUCUCUGCGAUACUGCUGCUGCAGUUUGAUCAGGUCUGCCUCGGCUGCAUUCAAAGUUAUCCAGAAAAGGUUAUUCAGUUACUGAAGUCAUUUGAUGCUAAAGAGAGAUCAAAGAGGAAGCUGCCUUAUCCUGUCUUUAUGAGAAUGAUUGGUCCUCAGAACAGACAGGCAUCUAUGAACAAGGAAGUGGAGGAGGAAAGCAAAGCGGCGGACCCCGUAAACUGUAAAACAUGGUGCAGUCUGGUUCUGUCUGUGACUCAACAGGAAAUGAUGGAGCGGGAGUAAGUUAGGUGAGAGGAGGAAAGGAAGGAGGGUGGGAGUAAGAGGAGGGAUAAAUUGAGGGAAAAGGGAAGAUUGGCUUUGUCAUGUCUCAGGAUUUUGAGCUAUGUUGUAGGGAAAGACAGGCUAAUAUGCAUCAUACCAUGGUUUUCUGAGGAAGCAUUAAAAGACAGAUGGCCUCGUCAUCCCUCUCCCCCCUGCUACUCUGCACAAAAGAGUCAUGACAUGCACACAUACAGUAAAUAAACAUCAGAUGGACAACAAUAUAACCAAAAAUGACUGUGUUCCGUUGCCCUCCUGAAUGAUGACUCUGUAUGUUAUGUGGUGAGUCAAAAAGACUUUGACCUUAAAAUACGAUGUGAACAUUAGUCAAGCAAAUAUUGACAGUGCCCAAAAUGAGAAACACUCAGUGCCCUGAUGGGUAAUCUUGUGUUAGUGCCAACAUAUAAUAUUUUUCACUCUGAUGAUAUCAU